UACGAAGGGGGCUAGCGUUGUUCGGAAUUACUGGGCGUAAAGCGUGCGCAGGCGGUUCGUUGUGUCUGAUGUGAAAGCCCCGGGCUCAACCUGGGAAUGGCAUUGGAAACUGGCGAGCUAGAGUGUGGCAGAGGGGGGUGGAAUUCCGCGUGUAGCAGUGAAAUGCGUAGAUAUGUGGAGGAACACCGAUGGCGAAGGCAGCCCCCUGGGCUAACACUGACGCUCAUGCACGAAAGCGUGGGGAGCAAACAGG
rnacentral:rRNA from 1 species